UAGCUCAGUCGGUAGAGCACCUGACUUUUAAUCAGGUUGUCGGGGGUUCGAUUCCCCCGUGUCA
rnacentral:tRNA from 1 species